GAUUCCUGUUCGAAUUGCCUAUUGUCAGUGAUCCUGUAUUCUUCCAAUCCUCCAGUGAGUCCUCCGAACCUGCUUGCUAGUGACUGCAUUGUGCUGCCAGGAUGAAACAAUGAAAUUUGACUGCCCGAACAGCAAACACACACAACAACACAGAGUGACACAGAAGACUGGUGCAGGACAGAAAGAGCUAAUGCCUUUGAUAAGCUAAAAAGGGAAGGUUGUGGGACAACAUGAGUCAGAGACAGAAAAAGAGGGUUGAUGGAAAUGAAAGGAAAUGGCAG